GCCGGUUGCCGGCUUCUUAGAGGGACUGCGGUCGCGUCUAGCCCGCGAAAGUUAGAAGCAAUAACAGGUCUGUGAUGCCCUUAGAUGUUCUGGGCCGCACGCGCGCUACACUGACAGAGCCAGCGAGUUUUUCACCUUGGCCGGAAGGUCUGGGUAAUCUUGUGAAACUCUGUCGUGCUGGGGAUAGAGCAUUGCAAUUAUUGCUCUUCAACGAGGAAUUCCUAGUAAGCGUGAGUCAUCAGCUCGCGUUGAUUACGUCCCUGCCCUUUGUACACACCGCCCGUCGCUACUACCGAUUGAAUGGCUUAGUGAGGNNNNNNNNNNNNNNNNNGAGGGCCGGGAAACGGCCCCCCUGUGGUUGAGAAGUUGAUCAAACUUGGUCAUUUAGAGGAAGUAAAAGUCGUAACAAGGUUUCGUAGGUGAACCUGCGGAAGGAUCAUUACCGAAUUGUCAACACGAGUUGUUGCUGGUCCCCAGACCGGGGUCACGUGCACACUCUGUUUACACAUCCACCCACACCUGUGCACCCUCUGUAGCUCUAUGGCCUGGGUGGAUUUAUCCCCCCUCGCUGUGGUUCUACGUAUUUACACACACACACCGCCAUAAAGUCUCAUGGAAUGUUUGCCGCGUUUAACGCAAUACAAUACAACUUUCAGCAACGGAUCUCUUGGCUCUCGCAUCGAUGAAGAACGCAGCGAAAUGCGAUAAGUAAUGUGAAUUGCAGAAUUCAGUGAAUCAUCGAAUCUUUGAACGCACCUUGCGCCCUUUGGCUAUUCUGAAGGGCAUGCCUGUUUGAGUAUCAUGAACACCUCAACUCCUCAUGGUUUUCCAUGAUGAGCUUGGACUUUGGGGGUCUUGCUGGCCUAUGGUUGGCUCCUCUCAAAUGGAUCAGCUUGCCAGUGUUUGGUGGCAUCACAGGUGUGAUAAAUAUCUACGCUUGUGGUUUCCACCAUAUAACCUUCAGCGAUGAAGGUUCUCUGGAGCUCACAAAUGUCCCUCCUCAGCGAGGACAGCUUUUGAACGUUUGAUCUCAAAUCAGGUAGGAUUACCCGCUGAACUUAAGCAUAUCAAUAAGCGGAGGAAAAGAAACUAACAAGGAUUCCCCUAGUAACUGCGAGUGAAGCGGGAAGAGCUCAAAUUUAAAAUCUGGCGUGCCUUUGGCCGUCCGAGUUGUAGUCUGGAGAAGCGUUUUCCGUGUUGGACCGUGUAUAAGUCUCUUGGAACAGGGCGUCAUAGAGGGUGAGAAUCCCGU
rnacentral:rRNA from 1 species